UACGUAGGGCGCAAGCGUUAUCCGGAAUUAUUGGGCGUAAAGAGCUCGUAGGCGGUUUGUCACGUCUGCCGUGAAAGUCCGGGGCUUAACUCCGGAUCUGCGGUGGGUACGGGCAGACUAGAGUGAUGUAGGGGAGACUGGAAUUCCUGGUGUAGCGGUGAAAUGCGCAGAUAUCAGGAGGAACACCGAUGGCGAAGGCAGGUCUCUGGGCAUUAACUGACGCUGAGGAGCGAAAGCAUGGGGAGCGAACAGG
rnacentral:rRNA from 1 species